GACGAACGCUGGCGGCGUGCUUAACACAUGCAAGUCGAACGAUGAAGCCGGAGCUUGCUCCGGUGGAUUAGUGGCGAACGGGUGAGUAACACGUGAGCAAUCUGCCAUUGACUCUGGGAUAACUGCGGGAAACUGUAGCUAAUACCGGAUACGACACCUUCGGGCAUCCCAGGGUGUGGAAAGAAUUUCGGUCAAGGAUGAGCUCGCGGCCUAUCAGCUAGUUGGUGAGGUAAUGGCUCACCAAGCGGACGACGGGUAGCCGGCCUGAGGGGGUGACCUGCCACACAGGCACUGGGACACGAGCAAGCCUCCGACGGGAGGGAGCGGUGGGGUGGAAAGCACAAUGGGAGCAAGCCUUAUGCAGCGACGCAGCCUUAUGGAUGACGACAUUCGGAUUGUAAACCUCUUUCAGCACCGACGAAGCGCAAGUGACGGUAGAUGCAGAAGAAGGACCGGCCAACUACGUGCCAGCAGCCGCCGUAA
rnacentral:rRNA from 1 species